UACGUAGGUGGCAAGCGUUAUCCGGAAUUAUUGGCGUAAAGCGCGCGCAGGUGGUUCUUUAAGUCUGAUGUGAAAGCCCCCGGCUCAACCGGGGAGGGUCAUUGGAAACUGGGGAACUUGAGUAUAGAAGAGGAAAGUGGAAUUCCACGUGUAGCGGGUGAAAUGCGCAGAUAUCAGGAGGAACACCGGUGGCGAAGGCGGGUCUCUGGGCAAUAACUGACGCUGAGGAGCGAAGCGUGGGGAGCGAACAGG
rnacentral:rRNA from 1 species